CCUACGGGAGGCAGCAGUGAGGAAUAUUGGUCAAUGGGCGCGAGCCUGAACCAGCCAAGUCGCGUGAAGGAAGACGGCCCUAUGGGUUGUAAACUUCUUUUAUAAAGGAAUAAAUGCAGGCACGUGUGUCUUUUUGUAUGUACUGUAUGAAUAAGGAUCGGCUAACUCCGUGCCAGCCGCCGCGGUAAUACGGAGGAUCCGAGCGUUAUCCGGAUUUAUUGGGUUUAAAGGGAGCGUAGGUGGGUUGUUAAGUCAGUUGUGAAAGUUUGCGGCUCAACCGGAAAAUUGCAAUUGAUACUGGCAGCCUUGAGUGCAGUUGAGGUAGGCGGAAUUCGUGGUGUAGCGGUGAAAUGCGUAGAUAUCAGGAAGAACACCGAUUGCGAAGGCAGCUUACUAAACUGCCACUGACGUUGAGGCUCGAAAGUGUGGGUAGCAAACAGGAUUAGAUACCCGUGUAGUC
rnacentral:rRNA from 1 species